AUGGGUUCUUACAGAGAAGAAUACCCUUUGUCUCAAGAGCUGGAGAAGUGUCAAGCCCAGCUAAGGGCUGCCAGUGCCAAAAUAGAGGAAUCCAAGAAGGCCUCAUCUGAUAAGUCCGGAGUGAAUCCGGAGAUCCUGCAAGAGGAUGAACAAAGAACGCAACAACAACUAGAAGCCGGCGAGCGUGUACUUACACGAGUCAGGCAGGAGAAAAACGAUCUCCAAGAUGCCAAUAUCCGGAUGGGCAUAGAAUUACAAGAUGUUCGGGCUCAGCUGUCUGACUCCAUGAAGGAGAAUAGAAGGCUUCAACGCGUCAUUUUUAGUAUGCUAACCGGUCGUCCCGAAGAAGAGAUGCCCAGAUCCACAGGUGAUCUGUUGCAAGAGCUUUCACAACUGCACAGACAAGUUUGGCAGGUAAUGCAGGGUGUCUCCAAGGCCUUGUGGCCAUCCACCUCCCUGCCGGGAAGCAUGGGGGAGCUUGUUCAACUGCUCAAGGGAGCGUGGUGGCGAUUCCGACUAUGGAAGAUAUCUGCCUGCCGUCAAGGUGCGAGGGAAGCUUGGGCCAUGGUAAAAACACGGUAUACCAAGAUCCGAUCGCAUGGCCCGGGUCGGACCUGUAGGGCCUGA
rnacentral:rRNA from 1 species